GAGGGAAAGGUGAAAAGCACCCCGGAAGGGGAGUGAAAUAGAACCUGAAACCGUGUGCUUACAAGUAGUCAGAGCCCGUUAAUGGGUGAUGGCGUGCCUUUUGUAGAAUGAACCGGCGAGUUACGAUUUGAUGCAAGGUUAAGCAGUAAAUGUGGAGCCGUAGCGAAAGCGAGUCUGAAUAGGGCGUUUAGUAUUUGGUCGUAGACCCGAAACCAGGUGAUCUACCCUUGGUCAGGUUGAAGUUCAGGUAACACUGAAUGGAGGACCGAACCGACUUACGUUGAAAAGUGAGCGGAUGAACUGAGGGUAGCGGAGAAAUUCCAAUCGAACCUGGAGAUAGCUGGUUCUCUCCGAAAUAGCUUUAGGGCUAGCCUCAAGUGAUGAUUAUUGGAGGUAGAGCACUGUUUGGACGAGGGGCCCCUCUCGGGUUACCGAAUUCAGACAAACUCCGAAUGCCAAUUAAUUUAACUUGGGAGUCAGAACAUGGGUGAUAAGGUCCGUGUUCGAAAGGGAAACAGCCCAGACCACCAGCUAAGGUCCCAAAAUAUAUGUUAAGUGGAAAAGGAUGUGGCGUUGCCCAGACAACUAGGAUGUUGGCUUAGAAGCAGCCAUCAUUUAAAGAGUGCGUAAUAGCUCACUAGUCGAGUGACACUGCGCCGAAAAUGUACCGGGGCUAAACAUAUUACCGAAGCUGUGGAUUGUCCUUUGGACAAUGGUAGGAGAGCGUUCUAAGGGCGUUGAAGCAUGAUCGUAAGGACAUGUGGAGCGCUUAGAAGUGAGAAUGCCGGUGUGAGUAGCGAAAGACGGGUGAGAAUCCCGUCCACCGAUUGACUAAGGUUUCCAGAGGAAGGCUCGUCCGC
rnacentral:rRNA from 1 species